GGUAGUCCACGCCGUAAACGAUGUCGACUUGGAGGUUGUUCCCUUGAGGAGUGGCUUCCGGAGCUAACGCGUUAAGUCGACCGCCUGGGGAGUACGGCCGCAAGGUUAAAACUCAAAUGAAUUGACGGGGGCCCGCACAAGCGGUGGAGCAUGUGGUUUAAUUCGAUGCAACGCGAAGAACCUUACCUACUCUUGACAUCCAGAGAACUUAGCAGAGAUGCUUUGGUGCCUUCGGGAACUCUGAGACAGGUGCUGCAUGGCUGUCGUCAGCUCGUGUUGUGAAAUGUUGGGUUAAGUCCCGCAACGAGCGCAACCCUUAUCCUUUGUUGCCAGCGGUUAGGCCGGGAACUCAAAGGAGACUGCCAGUGAUAAACUGGAGGAAGGUGGGGAUGACGUCAAGUCAUCAUGGCCCUUACGAGUAGGGCUACACACGUGCUACAAUGGCGCAUACAAAGAGAAGCGACCUCGCGAGAGCAAGCGGACCUCAUAAAGUGCGUCGUAGUCCGGAUUGGAGUCUGCAACUCGACUCCAUGAAGUCGGAAUCGCUAGUAAUCGUAGAUCAGAAUGCUACGGUGAAUACGUUCCCGGGCCUUGUACACACCGCCCGUCACACCAUGGGAGUGGGUUGCAAAAGAAGUAGGUAGCUUAACCUUCGGGAGGGCGCUUACCACUUUGUGAUUCAUGACUGGGG
rnacentral:rRNA from 1 species